rnacentral:rRNA from 1 species
UACGGAGGGUGCGAACGUUGCUCGGAAUCAUUGGGCGUAAAGCGCACGUAGGCGGCAAGAAAAGUUGGGUGUGAAAGCCCUGGGCUCAACCCAGGAAGUGCAUUCAAAACUGCCUUGCUUGAAUCUCGGAGGGGGUCAGAGAAUUCCCGGUGUAGAGGUGAAAUUCGUAGAUAUCGGGAGGAAUACCAGUGGCGAAGGCGCUGACCUGGACGAAGAUUGACGCUGAGGUGCGAAAGCGUGGGGAGCAAACAGG